UACAGAGGUCUCAAGCGUUGUUCGGAUUCAUUGGGCGUAAAGGGUGCGUAGGCGGCGCGGUAAGUCGGAUGUGAAAUCUCGGGGCUUAACUCCGAAACUGCAUUCGAUACUGCCGUGCUUGAGGACUGGAGAGGAGACUGGAAUUUACGGUGUAGCGGUGAAAUGCGUAGAUAUCGUAAGGAAGACCAGUGGCGAAGGCGGGUCUCUGGACAGUUCCUGACGCUGAGGCACGAAGGCCAGGGGAGCAAACGGGG
rnacentral:rRNA from 1 species